rnacentral:misc_RNA from 1 species
UCUCCGUUGGUGAACCAGCGGAGGGAUCAUUACAGAGUGACCACUGUGUCGUGGCUCUGCCAACCCCGCGAACCUUACCCUUUGUCGUUGCCUCGGCGGGCUCGCCCGCCGCAGGCCUCAACCAAAAACGCACUGAAAUGCUCGGCGCUCCUUCUGACAGCAAACUUUUAAACGAGUAAAAACUUUUGGCAACGGAUCUCUUGGCUCUG